rnacentral:rRNA from 1 species
UACAGAGGGUGCAAGCGUUAAUCGGAGUUACUGGGCGUAAAGGGCGCGUAGGCGGUUAUUUAAGAUUGAUGUGAAAGCCCUGGGCUUAACCUGGGAAAGUCAUCGAUGACUGAAUAGCUGGAGUAUUGUAGAGGGUAGCGGAAUUUCCGGUGUAGCGGUGAAAUGCGUAGAGAUCGGAAGGAACACCAGUGGCGAAGGCGGCUACCUGGACAAAUACUGACGCUGAGGCGCGAGGGCGUGGGGAGCAAACAGG